UAUACCUUAAGCCAAUGGUUUUCAUCAUAUGAUCUGUUAGAAAAUUCUCAUUCAUGGGCAACUUUUAAUUAAGUAGGAUGUUCCAAGAGCUGGAGUAAAAGAAAAUUUAUUUAAGUGGAGCACAUUGAAUCUGAGGGUAAUGUCGAUUCCCUCAUUAGCUUUGUACAGGCUGGGAACUUGAAGGGAAAAAUAACCAGGUCAACCGCAUUCUUCAAGAUGUUCAAUUUAAAGACCAGAAGUGGUUUAAGCAGUUUGUUUCCCAAAGCAAGGCUAGAACGGAGGAGCGAUUAAGAGGCAGUGGUGAUGAUAUUGUAGCCGCAAGGAUGGGUGCAAAGUUAAAUGCUGCAGGGUGGAUUUCUAAACAAAUGGGUGGCGUUAGAACCUGAUAAUGCGGCAUGUGAAUCACUCUGCUAGUGAUCUGAUUGAUCUCUUGCAGGGGCUUCUGUGAUAUGACCGAGCAGAGCAACUCAAAGCAAAGGAAGCUCUUAGACAUCCCUACCUGAGAAGGUGUGACUUUGCAAAUGAACACACGACGUUUUGGUUAUGUUCUUAUUAUACUGUUUUACUUUUUGAACCUAAAUUAUUAUAGUGAGUGGCCAAGAAUCUACAGUUCAUGAAAUGCAAAAUUUAGGGGAGUAGUACUUCAAUUUUUA